GACGAACGCUGGCGGCGUGCUUAACACAUGCAAGUCGAACGGUGAAGCGCCUUCCUUUUUGGUGGGUGUGGAUGAGUGGCGAACGGGUGAGUAACACGUGAGUAACCUGCCCCCUUCUUCUGGAUAACCGCAUGAAAGUGUGGCUAAUACGGGAUAUUCUGGGUCUGUCGCAUGAUGGGUCUGGGAAAGAUAUUGUUUCGGUGGGGGAUGGGCUCGCGGCCUAUCAGCUUGUUGGUGGGGUGAUGGCCUACCAAGGCGGUGACGGGUAGCCGGCCUGAGAGGGUGGACGGUCACACUGGGACUGAGACACGGCCCAGACUCCUACGGGAGGCAGCAGUGGGGAAUAUCGCACAAUGGGCGCAAGCCUGAUGCAGCGACGCCGCGUGAGGGAUGGAGGCCUUCGGGUUGUGAACCUCUUUCGCCAGUGAAGCAGGCCUGCCUCGUUUGUGGGUGGGUUGACGGUAGCUGGAGAAGAAGCGCCGGCUAACUACGUG
rnacentral:rRNA from 1 species